rfam:Eucalyptus grandis cultivar BRASTZ1 unplaced genomic scaffold scaffold_11, whole genome shotgun sequence.
GGUGGAGACUUCCAAAGGGAUCGCAUUGAUCUGAUCGUCCAAGAUACCUGAAUUCGAAUCGAAAGGUUCAGUCUUUUCUUUUUCUCGGUGCCUGUAGAUCGGAUCAUGCGAUCCCUUCGGAAUUCUCCAU